rnacentral:rRNA from 2 species
UUGAGGAAGUAAAAGUCGUAACAAGGUUUCCGUAGGUGAACCUGCGGAAGGAUCAUUACCGCGAGAGGGACGUGCGCCCACGGCCACGGCCCGGGGGGCCCCGCCCCCCAGCUCUUCAACCCUGUGUAUACCUACCUCUGUUGCUUCGGCGAGCGCCGAGGUGCCUCGCGGCGCCUCGGCCCCGGCCCUCGGUCGGUGAGCUCUCGCCAGAGGCCCAACUUCAUUCUGUUCCCAGUGACGUCCGAGUACACCGAUUAAAUCAAUCAAAACUUUCAACAACGGAUCUCUUGGUUCUGGCAUCGAUGAAGAACGCAGCGAAAUGCGAUAAGUAAUGUGAAUUGCAGAAUUCAGUGAAUCAUCGAAUCUUUGAACGCACAUUGCGCCCCUUGGUAUUCCGGGGGGCAUGCCUGUUCGAGCGUCAUUGCAACCCUCAAGCUUUGCUUGGUAUUGGGCGUUCGCUGCCUCCCUCCGGAGGCGGCGUGCCCGCAAACUAGUGGCGGUCCAGGGAGACUUCAAGCGCAGUGAAUCUUUCCGCUUUCGAGGUGUCGCCUGCGGUCCGGCCGUGAAACCCCCCAAUUUUCAAUGAU